GAUGAACGCUGGCGGCGUGCCUAAUACAUGCAAGUCGAGCGAACAGACGAGGAGCUUGCUCCUCUGACGUUAGCGGCGGACGGGUGAGUAACACGUGGAUAACCUACCUAUAAGACUGGGAUAACUUCGGGAAACCGGAGCUAAUACCGGAUAAUAUAUUGAACCGCAUGGUUCAAUAGUGAAAGACGGUUUUGCUGUCCCUUAUAGAUGGAUCCGCGCCGCAUUAGCUAGUUGGUAAGGUAACGGCUUACCAAGGCAACGAUGCGUAGCCGACCUGAGAGGGUGAUCGGCCACACUGGAACUGAGACACGGUCCAGACUCCUGCGGGAGGCAGCAGUAGGGAAUCUUCCGCAAUGGGCGAAAGCCUGACGGAGCAACGCCGCGUGAGGGAGGAAGUUCUUCGGAUCGUAAAACUCUGUUAUUAGGGAAGAACAAAUGUGUAAGUAACUAUGCACGUCUUGACGGUACCUAAUCAGAAAGCCACGGCUAACUACGUG
rnacentral:rRNA from 1 species